rnacentral:rRNA from 1 species
UGCAGGCGAGGGAUUGGGUAACUAACACCGUUCGUACGGGUGCGUAACGCGCCCUGCAACCUACCUAUCACAGGGGGAUAGCCUUUGGAAACAGGGAUUAAUACCGCAUAAAGCAGGGGCUUGGCAUCAAGAUACUGCUAAAGAUUUAUCGGUGAUAGAUGGGCAUGCGUCUGAUUAGUUAGAUGGUGAGGUAAUGGCUCACCAUGACGAUGAUCAGUAGGGGGCGUCAGAGCGUGGUCCCCCACACUGGCACUGAGAUACGGGCCAGACUCCUACGGGAGGCAGCAGUAGGGAAUAUUGGGCAAUGGAUGCAAGUCUGACCCAGCCAUGCCGCGUGGAGGAAGAAGGUCCUCUGGAUUGUAAACUCCUUUUGUCGGGGAAGAAGAGUUCUCUUGCGAGGGAAUGUGACGGUACCCGAUGAAUAAGCCACGGCUAACUACGUGCCAGCAGCCGCGGUAAUACGUAGGUGGCAAGCGUUGUCCGGAUUUAUUGGGUUUAAAGGGUGCGUAGGUGGUUUAUUAAGUCAGUGGUGAAAGCUGGUUGCUCAACAAUCAAGUUGCCAUUGAUACUGAUAGACUUGAGAGAGGUGGAGGUUCAUGGAAUGGAUGGUGUAGCGGUGAAAUGCAUAGAUAUCAUCCA